GUGGGGAAUUUUGGACAAUGGGCGAAAGCCUGAUCCAGCCAUGCCGCGUGCAGGAUGAAGGCCUUCGGGUUGUAAACUGCUUUUGUACGGAACGAAAAGACUCCUUCUAAUAAAGGGGGUCCAUGACGGUACCGUAAGAAUAAGCACCGGCUAACUACGUGCCAGCAGCCGCGGUAAUACGUAGGGUGCAAGCGUUAAUCUGAAUUACUGGGCGUAAAGCGUGCGCAGGCGGUUAUAUAAGACAGAUGUGAAAUCCCCGGGCUCAACCUGGGAACUGCAUUUGUGACUGUAUAGCUAGAGUACGGUAGAGGGGGAUGGAAUUCCGCGUGUAGCAGUGAAAUGCGUAGAUAUGCGGAGGAACACCGAUGGCGAAGGCAAUCCCCUGGACCUGUACUGACGCUCAUGCACGAAAGCGUGGGGAGCAAACAGGAUUAGAUACCCGGGUAGUCC
rnacentral:rRNA from 1 species